UUAAAGUCAGAAGAUACCGGGAGAACGAAGAUAAAACCCUAAAUCCAAUUCUGAAGGAGAUUAGAGGCAAUUUUCAUUAUUCUUAAUUCAAUCUAUUGUUUUUCAUCAUGUUUAGACAAUUAGAUUUCGUUUUUAUGUUGUCAAUUGCCCCAAUCAUGAGAUAAAACCUUCUAACUUCUAUUUGGGAAGACAAUAUUAAGACUAUGAGUUGAUUUAUGGUAGGAUUGAUUUAAUAUUGGUGACUUUGUUGAUUUUAGCUUGUUAAAGAACCUUAUGUGUGAAUGAUAACUAUUUUUCUGUUAAUAGGAAGAGAAUUAAGAUGCAUGAACAUCUCUUAAUUGUUUACCUCAUAUGAUCUAUGUGACCACUUUAUUAUAUAACUAGGAUUAGCGAAUGUGAAACUAGAAUUAACCAGAAAAUAGGUAAAUUCAUGUGUGAACUUGUGUGAUGACCAUCAACAACAGGUUAACUAAAGGACCAAUUUAGUUGACCAUUACAAGUCUUAAUCAACCCGAAUAAAUAAUCUAGUGAAUUAAAUUAAAUUAGACAACUGGCCACUGUUUGAGUUAGUUUGUUCUCUAAUGAUUAGUGCAACGAACGUGAAUCUAAUCACUUGAAUCGGUAGCCAAUAGAAAGAUCAAUCCAUUGCACUAUUUCCAUAACAUCAACCAUAGAAUCAAUUGAGUUGAACUAAAUAGAAGUUCCCUUCAUUAUUGAAUUUAGUUGAAUCUUUGCUUAUCUAGUUUUUACUUAAUUAGUCUAAGUAUUAGUUAGUAAGUUUCUAGUCUUGGAAAACUAGAGAAAACCCCCUUUAUUACUUAAUUUUUAGAUAAGAUUAGUUUUUAGUUUUAAUUUUCCAUUCCCUGUGUUCAAUACCCUACUUAUUUAACUUUACCACAAUUGAUAGGUCCACUGCAUUUGUGUGUUUAUUUUAUAAUUAAAAGUAGGAUUAAAACUAGUUGGGUUUUACACACAUCAAGUUUUUGGCACCGUUGCCGGGGAACGGUUUAAAAAUUAAAUCUAAUUCCUAAGUUUAUCGAUCCUUUGUGUGGGCAACCUUGACCUGCUAUUUACAAGUUCUUUCCCGGUUCUUGACAUGAAGAUUUUUCCAAAUCCUUUGGAAGGUCCAGCAGCAAAACGCAAAAGUGUUAAAAAUUAUUGUAACUUCCAAAAUUUUCAUGUAGCUUGCCUUAAUAUGAUGAUACAAAGAGAUGAUGAAAGGCAACUUGAUAAGGAGGCAAGCUUGGGAGAAAAGGAGAAUGCAAAGGCUGGCAGAGAUGAUGCUAAUAACUCAUCCAUUGAGUCACAUUCAACCAAACCUCGAGCCCGAGUCUUUUCCAAUUAUGAAGUAAUUACAUUUGAAUAACGAGAAGUACAAAAGAUGGGGCCAAAUAAUGGGGUGAAGAAAAAGAAGGCUGGGAAGCGGAUUAGGCAGGCAAUUGAAGAAAAUACCACAAGGAAAAGGAAAGAAGAAUUGAGACUGGCAUAUAAGAGGAAGAUACACGCCUACAAGACAAAGUAUACACCGUAAAAGAUUAGGCGUGCAUUCCCAAUGCAGGAAAAUGAAGAAACGUAGAUGGGAGGGAGUCCAGCUAAAGACUCCUAAAAAAGAAGCGCUUGGCGGGAGGCAACCCAUUAUGAGAGUUUGCUUUCUUUUAUCUUUCUCGUUUUAGUUUUUGUUUGAUUUUCUUAGGACUUUUUCUGUUUUCAUCUUCUAAUUCAUCAAACAUGUUUGCUUGAGGGUACGCAUGGUCUGAGUGUGGGGUGGAUUGAACAAUUUUUAUUAAUAGAUGACAAAAUGAUAUAAUUUUUGAAAUUUUUGCAAGUGACUCGGCGAGUUGGUACCUUGACUCGACGAGUCAAUUCAGAAUCCAGAUAACCUUCAUUCCUGACUCGACUCGCCGAGUCUGACCCUAACUCGACGAGUCGACUUUAAUUACUGAAAAAAUAAUUAUUAUUAUUAUAUUUUUUUAUAUCUGACAAAACAAGGGUUUUUACCCUAAUUUGAACAUAUCUCAUCCAUACUCACCGUGCGCCUCUUCUUGUUCUCUCUCAAGCACUCAUCAAGUUCUUCCAAUUCUCUUCAAAUUUCAACAAGCAAGGUUCUUAAUUUCGUCAAUAUUACUAUUAAAGUCAUGAUUUUUAGAUGAUUAGAAGAGUCGAUUUGAUGGAACACCCAUUUUUGAAAUUUUGUGAAUUUUUAGGGUUUUGAUUUCGGUUUAAUUAUGGUGUUUAGGAUGGAUGUUCUUGCACUAAUACACCUUAUGCACAUUCCUGGACAAACCCUUGGACCAAUUUUGAGUUUUUAUGGGUGAAAUUUCACCGACCCGUCGACUGACUCGCGCAGUUCAUCAUACUCGCCGAGUCGGUCAUGGACUCGAUGAGUCCAGUCGAGAACCCAAAUAGAUUUUGUUUUAAAGUGUUUCUGUAUUUUCUGGAUUGUUUGUUGUUUUUUGCAGAAACAUGUUUUCACGGGGUCAAAGCUCUCGGUGAAGUCAAGGAGAUUUUCCUUGGUUGCAUUUUCCACGAAUCGACUCAAAUUCAACAAGGACUAAGUGGAAGAAGAAGCUUGCGGAACUCUAGAAAAAAGAGAUUUGUGCUCCUAAUAUAAUUGAUUGGCAAUGGUUGGGGAGAGUUCGUUAUGAAGAGGAGUUGGCUCCUUAUAUAAUCAAGACGUUUGUACACAAUGGAGUAUCCAUCACGUGUGAUGGAUGGAGUCGUGUCUUCCGUAUUUAGGAACCGAUCUAUCGUGAGCUGUGCUUGGAGUUCUUUUCCACAAUACAUUUCCAGGGUGUGAAUGAUUAUUAUAAUCCCGGAAGUAUUACUUUUUGUCUUAGGGGCGAAGUUCGUCAUUGUUCUAUGGUGGAAUUGGCUUGGAGAUUGGGAAUAUAUGACCAACAAGUGGUCAACACGGAUGCAUUUCGUACCUUUUUGGACCAUUGCCAUAAAGCAUUUUCGGAUGGGAUCACCAGUUCAAGUUGGUGGAAUACCAUUGCCAACAAGGUUUACAUUCCGAAGUCGGCUCAAGAAGGGAGCAUACGAUCACCUACGCACCGCCUUAUUCACCAUCUUAUUUCAAACACCAUUAACCAAAGGAAAGAUGAUGACAAGGUUUCUAACCUUGAUGUUUCUUUCUUUGGAGCAUCAUUACACCUAAUACUUUUUGCAACAUUCCAUGGUGCAUAGGUUCGUACUUGGCGGAGGGAGCGGUCAAGGACCGCAAAACUUCAAAAAUUAAUGGUGACAUGUUCAUGACACGUUUAACCCACUCUUAUGGGUUAAUGACUAGUGGUGCUUGGAACUUGCUGAUGGAGAUCCCGACAUUUCCCUUUAAUCCUAUUCUUUUUCGCAGGGCACACAUCAUUGAGGAUUAUGGAGGGGGUCAUUACGCUAUCCCACAUGAUGAUGCCAUGAUCGGACCCGAGGAACCAGGAAGGUGGGUUCGACCAAGAUGGGAGCAAGCAUGCCAUGAUCCACCAGUGAUUCUGGUCGAGGACAAUGUUCCCCAGGAGUGGUAUAAUGAGGAAGGGAUGAGAUAUUUGGAUGAUUUGGCUCGGAGUUCAAAUUUUACAAACCAAUCUUUCAUCCAGUUAUUUGAACAUUUCCACAUCCAACAUGUGGACGGGGGACAAUUUCCGUAUGUUCCAAGUUGGGAUGAAAGGAUAAGCGCAAGGCAAGGAGGAGCCGGUGGGAGCGGGGUUGUGCGUGGCGAUGAUGAGGAAGAGGAUGAUAAUUAGUUUCUUUUUUUAUUUAUGUUUUGUUGAACAAUUUGUUUUUAUUUUGUUUGGUGUAUUUUGAAUUCUUAAUUAGGACUUAAACUUAUGUGCUUGAUGUUCCAUUUUGCCUUGGUUUCUUUCAGAAUUUGGAUUAGGAAAUGCUUGUAUAAGGAGUCUAGAGAAUGUGAGAAAAACAUGGAAACGAGUCAAGAAAGGUCGACGUAUUGAGUCUAAGUGUCGAGUCCGUUCCUAAAAGGUUUAUGAUUGAAUGGUUAUUGAAUCAAUGGGAAGUUUUUGAGGUCAACUAAAAGUUGGAUUCCAGAUAGAGUUUAUUAAUUUUCCACCCAGCGAUGACUCGCCGAGUGCAGUUUUCCUACUUGACGAGUCGCAAUAUAUUUUCACGACUUCAACAUUAUCGCGCUAUGACUCGACGAUUCGUUCAUAUGACUCGACGAGUUAUUCAUUUAUCUACCACAAGGUCUGCUGAUUUGAUGUUGUUAGCUACACCAUUUGACCACUUUAUCUUUGUAAUCAAUUUAUGAAGAUUUUACAGUAUUUUUCCUGCACAUUUGGAGCUACCCACAUGCGAUUUGAUGCCCAAGACAUGGAUGAGCUGUUCCCAUGUCUAAAGUCGAUUGAAGUAGGAGCUUAAUAGAAGAUGAUCAGUCUAGCGACUGCCACUCCAGGGGAGUUUGUUCCAAUUCCCUCUUUAUUUUAUUUUUAUUUUUUUUUCUUUUCAUGCAUUAUAUGCAAUGAGGACAUUGCAUGAAUUAAGUGUGGGGUAGUGGUUGGUUACAUCUUAGUAAAUUUAGAGUCCUAAUUUAGGGAUAUUUUGAAAAAAAAUUUGCAUACCAAAAAAAAGUUGCUUAGGACUUAAUUUAGAAAUUUUGGUAAAAGUAAUGAGGAUUCCAUGUUGGAAUUAUGUUGAUAAUUGCAAGAAGACCCAAAUAUUUAGUUGAGCCUAGAUACGUUCUAGUGCACUUGUGGCUUCCUUAUUCCAGUGAAAUCAUGGGACAAAACACGACCUUGCUUAGCCCGAAGGAUGCAAUAUGUUUAGCAUCGUGUACCAGAAAUGUAUCCAGGAAAAUUAUUAUUUUAGCCAAUAAAGGUUGAAGUUGAGUGCCCUUACUUAAGCAUGUAGGUUUUGAAAAAAAGAAAAAGUGAGGUAUAUGUCAAAAAAAAAAGAGAAAAAAGAGAAUUACAAGAAAAAGUUGUAAGAAUUUUGGAGCGGUCAAAAGUGAAGAUUAAAAGAUCAAAGUUCUGAAAAAAAAAGUGAAGAUACCAAAAAUUAAAAAGAUCAAAUUCCAAUAGCUCAAUAGUGGUAUCGAAAAGUUGUAAUUUUCUAGAUUAUGUAUGCUUGGGUUGCUUAACCAAAAAUACCUUGAGGAUAGGAGGUUUUAUGCGGAUGGAUUCGGAGGGAUGCAUAAAAUGAGCAUUGUUCGGGAUAAGUGGGUGAAUAUUUAUGAGGAUUGUAAGUAUUUGGAAUAUUGGAGGGUUUUAGGGAAAUUCUAGACACAAGUGCACGCAUUGCGGUUUUGGCGUAAUGGUUGGGUUCGAUUGGAGUUGUCCUUUGUGAUUCUAAUGUACUAAAAUUCAGUUUUGCUUGGGGGCAAGCAAAAGUCAAGUGUGGGGUAUUUUGAUAUUUGCAUAUUUAGUCUUAUAUUAAGUAUAGAUUUUUAUCAUUUAUUAACUAAUUAAUUGCAUAUCAUGGACAAAAGAUACUUAAAAGUGUGUGAAUUAUGUUUUCAGUCAAAAAGCGAAGCUCGAAAGCAAAAAGAAGCAUGAGAAGCGGUUGGGAGCUCGGGAGUUAAACCAAGAAGAAAAAUGCCAAAAACACAAGGUACUCAGCGAGUAGGGUCGACUACUCGGCGAGUCGCAUCGAAGAUUCGAGAAGAUAAAGACUCCUUGACUUACCGUGUACAGGAAUUAAGGGGUGCACUCGACGAGUCGGUCAUGGAAUCGACGAGUCGGGGCGAAUCUAUAAAAACGACUUUUCAGAUCGACACAAAUAAUUCUGGAACCCUUGGGGAGAAGCAAGCUGCGAAUUGAAGUCAAAAGAGACCUGGAGAACGAAGAUAAAACCCUAAAUCCAAUUCCGAAGGAGAUUAGAGGCAAUUUUCAUUAUUCUUAAUUCAAUCUAUUGUUUUUCAUCAUGUUUAAACAAUUAGAUUUUGUUUUUAUGUUGUCAAUUGCCCCAAUCAUUAGCUAAAACCUUCUAACUUCUGUUUGGGGAGACAAUAUUGAGACUAUGAGUUGAUUUAUGGUAGGAUUGAUUUAAUAUUGGUGACUUUGUUGAUUUUAGCUUGUUAAAGAACCUUAUUAUGUGUGAAUGAUAACUAUUUUUCUGUUAAUAGGAAGAGAAUUAAGCUACAUGAACAUCUCUUAAUUGUUUACCUCAUAUGAUUUAUGUGACCACUUUAUUAUAUGACUAGGAUUAGCGAAUGUGAAACUAGAAUUAACCAGAAAAUAGGUAAAUUCAUGUGUGAGCUUGUGUGAUGACCAUCAACAACAGGUUAACUAAAGGACCAAUUUAGUUGACCAUUACAAGUCUUAAUCAACCCGAAUAAAUAAUCUAGUGAAUUAAAUUAAAUUAGACAACUGGCCACUGUUUGAGUUAGUUUGUUC
rnacentral:lncRNA from 1 species